rnacentral:rRNA from 1 species
CCUACGGGGGACAGCAGUCGAGAAUCAUUCACAAUGGGGGAAACCCUGAUGGUGCGACGCCGCGUGGGGGAAUGAAGGUCUUCGGAUUGUAAACCCCUGUCAUGUGGGAGCAAAUUAAAAAGAUAGUACCACAAGAGGAAGAGACGGCUAACUCUGUGCCAGCCGCCGCGGUAAUACCGAGGUCUCAAGCGUUGUUCGGAAUCACUGGGCGUAAAGCGUGCGUAGGCUGUUUCGUAAGUCGUGUGUGAAAGGCGCGGGCUCAACCCGCGGACGGCACAUGAUACUGCGAGACUAGAGUAAGGGAGGGGGAACCGGAAUUCCCGGUGUAGCAGUGAAAUGCGUAGAUAUCGAGAGGAACACUCGUGGCGAAGGCGGGUUCCUGGACAUUAACUGACGCUGAGGCACGAAGGCCAGGGGAGCGAAAGGGAUUAGAUACCCGUGUAGUC